ensembl:lncRNA
GUCACCAUGGGAUCACUAGGAUCUCAUUCACCAUAGGAUCACCAUCAUCUCACCAUGGGAUCGCCAGGAGACACCAUGGGAUCACCAGGAGUCACCAUGGCAGCACUGGGGGUCACCAUGGGAUCACCAGGAUGUCACCAUGGGGUCACCAGGAGGUCAGCAUGGGAUCACCAGGAGUCACCAUGGGAUCACCAGGAAUCACCAUGGGAUCACCAGGAUCUCACUAUGGGAUCACCAGGAGUCACCAUGGCAGCACUGGGAGUCACCAUGGCAGCACCAUAAGGUCACCAUGGGAUCACCAGGAUCUCAUUCACCAUGGGAUCACCAUCAUCUCACCAUGGGAUCACUAGGAUGUCACCAUCGGAUCACCAGGAGUCACCAUGGCAGCACUGGGAGUCACCAUGGGGUCACCAGCAGUCGCCAUGGGGUCACCAGGAGUCACCAUGGGAUCACCGGGAAUCACCAUGGGAUCACCAGGAGUCGCCAUGGGAUCACCAGGAGGUCACCAUGGCAGCACUGGGAGUCACCAUGAGAUCACCUGAAUGUCCCCAUGGGAUCACCAGGAGUCACCAUGGCAACACUGGGGGGCACCAUGGCAGCACCAGGAAUCAACAUGGGAUCACCAGGAUCUCACUAUGGGAUCACCAGGAGUCACCAUGGGAUCACCAGGAGGUCACCAUGGCAGCACUGGGAGUCACCAUGGCAGCACCAUAAGGUCACCAUGGGAUCACCAGGUGUCACCAUGGGAUCACCAGGAUGUCACCAUGGGGUCACCAGGAGGUCAGCAUGGGAUCACCAGGACUCACAAUGGGAUCACUGGGAGUCACCAUGGGAUCACCAGGAGUCACCAUGGGAUCACCGGGAAUCACCAUGGGAUCACCAGGAUCUCAUUAUGGGAUCACCAGGAGUCACCAUGGCAGCACUGGGAGUCGCCAUGGGAUCACCAGGAGGUCACCAUGGCAGCACUGGGAGUCACCAGGGGGUCACCAGGAGUGACCAUGGGAUCACCAGGAUCUUAUUAUGGGAUCACCUGAAUGUCCCCACGGGAUCACCUGAAUGUCACCAUGGCAGCACCAGGAUGUCACCAUGGCAGCACCUGAAUGUCACCAUGGGAUCACCUGAAUGUCCCCAUGGGAUCACCAUAACAUCACCAUGGGAUCACCAGGAGGUCAACAUGGGAUCAGCAGGAUGUCGCGAUGGGAUCACCAGGCUGUCACCAUGGCAGCACCAGGAUGUCACCAUGGGAUCACCUGAAUGUCCCCAUGGGAUCACCUGAAUGUCACCAUGGGAUCACCAGGAUGUUACCAUGGGAUCGCCUGAAUGUCACCACGGGAUCACCAGGAUCUCACUAUGGGAUCACCAGGAUUCCACCAUGGGAUCACCUGAACGUCCCCAUGGGAUCACCUGAAUGUCUCCAUGGGAUCACCAGGACCUCACUAUGGGAUCACCAGGAUGUCACCAUGGCAUCACCUGAAUGUCCCCAUGGGAUCACCAGGAGUCACCAUGGCAGCACCAGGAUGUCCCCAUGGGAUCACCAGGAGCUCAUUAUGGGAUCACCAGGAGGUCCCCAUAGGAUCACCUGAAUGUCCCCAUGGGAUCACCAGGAGCUCAUUAUGGGAUCACCAGGAUGUCCACAUGGGAUCACCAGGAGGUCGCCAUGACAGCACCAAGAUGUGACCAUGGGAUCACCAGGAUCUCAUUAUGGGAUCACCUGAAUGUCCCCAUGGGAUCACCAGGAUGUCAUCAUGGGAUCACCUGAAUGUCCCCAUGGGAUCACCUGAAUGUCACCAUGGGAUCACCAUAACAUCACCAUGGGAUCACCAGGAGGUCAUUAUGGGAUCACCAGGAUGUCCCCAUGGGAUCACCAUAAUGUGACCAUGGGAUCACCAGGAGGUCAUUAUGGGAUCACCUGAACGUCCCCAUGGGAUCACCAGGAUGUCACCA